rnacentral:rRNA from 1 species
AAGCGUGCGCAGGCGGUUAUGUAAGACAGAUGUGAAAUCCCCGGGCUCAACCUGGGAACUGCAUUUGUGACUGCAUGGCUAGAGUACGGUAGAGGGGGAUGGGAAUUCCGCGUGUAGCAGUGAAAUGCGUAGAUAUGCGGAGGAACACCGAUGGCGAAGGCAAUCCCCUGGACCUGUACUGACGCUCAUGCACGAAAGCGUGGGGAGCAAACAGGAUUAGAUACCCGAGU